rnacentral:tRNA from 1 species
UGGGUGUGCAGCUCAGUGGUAUUGCACUUGCCCAGCCUGCAUGAAGCCCUGAGUUCGAUCCCCAGCACCACAA